UACGUAGGGACCGAGCGUUGUCCGGAAUCAUUGGGCGUAAAGAGCGUGUAGGCGGCCAACUAAGUCCUGCGUGAAAUCUCGGGGCUCAACCCCGAGCGGUCGUGGGAAACUGGUUGGCUAGAGUGCGGGAGAGGAGAGUGGAAUUCCUGGUGUAGCGGUGAAAUGCGCAGAUAUCAGGAGGAACACCCGUGGCGAAGGCGGCUCUCUGGAACGCAACUGACGCUGAGACGCGAAAGCGUGGGGAGCAAACAGG
rnacentral:rRNA from 1 species